rnacentral:rRNA from 1 species
AUUGAACGCUGGCGGCAGGCCUAACACAUGCAAGUCGAGCGGGGUUUUCGGACCUAGCGGCGGACGGGUGAGUAAUGCGUAGGAAGCUACCCGACAGAGGGGGAUACCAGUUGGAAACGACUGUUAAUACCGCAUAAUGUCUACGGACCAAAGUGCGGGACCUUCGGGCCACAUGCUGUCGGAUGCGCCUACGUGGGAUUAGCUAGUUGGUGAGGUAAUGGCUCACCAAGGCGACGAUCCCUAGCUGGUUUGAGAGGACGAUCAGACACACUGGAACUGAGACACGGUCCAGACUCCUACGGGAGGCAGCAGUGGGGAAUUUCCGCAAUGGGCGAAAGCCUGACGGAGCAAUACCGCGUGAGGAAGAAUGCCUAUGGGUUGUAAACCUNUUUUUCAGGGAGGAAUCAAAUGACGUGUACCUGAAGAAUAAGCAUCGGCUAACUCCGUGCCAGCAGCCGCGGUAAAGUGACUAACUG